rnacentral:lncRNA from 1 species
AGAUAAAAUUCAUGCACUUCAUUGUGUAUAAUAAAAUGAAUAUGUGGAGCUAAGUCUUGUUUUUGUUUUAUGAAUUUUGGCCCAUUUUAUCUAAUGAUAGCUUGAGCCUAGCCAGAAGAGUUUAACAGGAUUUCUAGAGACUCUCUUUUUUCCCACUUUGUGGUGGAAUGUCAUAUGGAUUUCACUUAAAUGAGUAAUUAAACUCCAAUAGGAAACCUUGGUAACAUUUGAAACUGUUUUGCCUCAUAUGUCAUGAACCUCUUCUCACCAUGAGAAGAAAAAUACUUUCCAGCUCAAAUGACUGCUUGGAACCACCCUACCUAAGUUUAGAGAAAGAGGUUAAAAGAGUUAUCCAUGUAGCUCAAAAUCAUUUUCCUUCUAACAUGUUUACCUAUAUUUUUAUAGCUCCUAGCUCUCGUGUCUGUCUCCAAAAAAAAGAAUAAAGACACAGAGCUGAGGGGCAGUGGUUGGGAAAUUACUAAGAGGAAACAUCAAGGAUAAAGGGUUUCUGGCUCAGCUGACUUGAGAAGAUUAUUUCUGAGGGCAGGUCAGGGAGCUAAGAUAUUGGAGAGUGG